UGAGUGCGAGCUUCUACGGAAGCGAAGUUGGUGACGUCAAGCUUCCAAGAAAAGCCCUAUACCCGUUAAGGCAUGAUUACCUGUACCCGAAACCGACACAGGUGGGGUGGUAGAGAAUACCGAGGGGCGCGAGGUAACUCUCUCUAAGGAACUCGGCAAAAUGACCCCGUAACUUCGGGAGAAGGGGUGCCAGCGCGAGCUGGUCGCAGUGAAUAGGCCCAGGCGACUGUUUACCAAAAACACAGGUCUCCGCUAAGUCGCAAGACGAUGUAUGGGGGCUGACGCCUGCCCAGUGCCGGAAGGUUAAAGAAGUUGGUCAGCGCAAGCGAAGCUAACGACUGAAGCCCCGGUGAACGGCGGCCGUAACUAUAACGGUCCUAAGGUAGCGAAAUUCCUUGUCGGGUAAGUUCCGACCCGCACGAAAGGCGUAACGAUCUGGGCGCUGUCUCGGAGAGAGGCUCGGCGAAAUAGAAUUGUCUGUGAAGAUGCGGACUACGUGCACCCGGACAGAAAGACCCUAUGAAGCUUUACUGUAGCUUGGUAUUGUGCUCGGGCUCGCAAUGCGCAGGAUAGGUGGGAGGCUUUGAUCCAUUGCUUGUGGGUGAUGGUGAGCCACUGGUGAGAUACCACUCUUUGCGAGCUAGGGUUCUAACGGUUACCCGUCAUCCGGGAACCGGACAGUAUCUGGUGGGCAGUUUGACUGGGGCGGUCGCCUCCUAAAAGGUAACGGAGGCGCGCAAAGGUUUGCUCAGGCUGGUUGGAAAUCAGCCGACGAGUGUAAAAGCAGAAGCAAGCUUGACUGUGAGACCUACAAGUCGAACAGGGAGGAAACUCGGCUUUAGUGAUCCGACGGUUCUGAGUGGAAGGGCCGUCGCUCAACGGAUAAAAGUUACUCUAGGAUAACAGGCUGAUCUCCCCCAAGAGUUCACAUCGACGGGGAGGUUUGGCACCUCGAUGUCGGCUCAUCGCAACCUGGGGCUGAAGUCGGUCCCAAGGGUUGGGCUGUUCGCCCAUUAAAGCGGUACGCGAGCUGGGUUCAGAACGUCGUGAGACAGUUCGGUCCAUAUCCGGUGCAUGCGCAGGAAUAUUGAGAGGAUUUCUCCCUAGUACGAGAGGACCGGGAGGAACGCACCUCUGGUGUACCAGUUAUCGUGCCAACGGUAAACGCUGGGUAGCCAUGUGCGGAGUGGAUAACCGCUGAAAGCAUCUAAGUGGGAAGCCCACCUCAAGAUGAGUAUUCCCAUGGCUUAAGCCAGUAAGGUCACGGGAAGAACACCCGUUGAUAGGCUCUAUGUGGAAGCGCAGUAAUGCGUGAAGCAGAGGAGUACUAAUAGACCGAGGGCUU
rnacentral:rRNA from 1 species